UACGUAGGGUGCAAGCGUUAAUCGGAAUUACUGGGCGUAAAGCGUGCGCAGGCGGUUUUGUAAGUCUGUCGUGAAAGCCCCGGGCUCAACCUGGGAAUUGCGAUGGAGACUGCAAGGCUUGAAUCUGGCAGAGGGGGGUAGAAUUCCACGUGUAGCAGUGAGAUGCGUAGAGAUGUGGAGGAACACCGAUGGCGAAGGCAGCCCCCUGGGUCAAGAUUGGCGCUCAUGCACGAAAGCGUGGGGAGCAAACAGG
rnacentral:rRNA from 1 species